UUUUUGGGGUUUUUUUUUUUUUUUUUUUGAUAAAUUUGGGUUUGUUCUCAUCAAAUCCUUCUAUUGGAUCAGCAAGAGAUGCAAAUUAGUCACCAAAAUAUGUGGGAAAUCCUAAGUAGGAUCUGGCAAAUAGUCAAGGAAGCCGGAAUUUUUUGGUUUUGGUGUUUAGCAACUUAAGAGAUGAAGAAAAAAGGGCUCGGAUUUGGGGUCUUUUGAGGGUGUUUUUGUGAAAGAAAAUUAGACAAAAUGAAACUAAACUAAAGAGGAAGUUAAAGGGAAGAUCAUGGAGAGUUUGGGCUAAAUACUCGUGGUCAAAAAAGGAAGGAAAAUGAAACAAAACAAUGGCGGCUGGAGUAGACGAAAAACAAAUGAAGCUUGGGAUUUUUGACUAAUCCGUAUACUUAGAGGUUAAAUCGAGGCUCCACGUUCGAAGGAAACCAUGGAGAAUUUGAUCGAUUCCAGGAGUUCUAGUGCGAUUCAGACAUUUAAACAUUGAGGUAGCGAUCAAGUUCUUGGUGCCCGUUGAGCCAUCAAACGCCACUAGUGUUGUUGGAUAUUUGUUGUAUUGUUGUGCAUGUAUUUGAGAGUAUUCUAGGAUAGUUAAAACUUGUGAGUUACAUAUCAUGGGAGGUUUUGUUAAAAAUAAUCCUUACUGUUGGCCUGUAAAUCUUUUUUAAACAGUGUUGUGAUUUAAAAUGAGUUGAGUUCUUAAACACUAUUAAUAAAUGUAAACUAUUUUUGAA